UGGGGGAAUAUUGGGCAAUGGACGCAAGUCUGACCCAGCAACGCCGCGUGAAGGAAGAAGUAUCUCGGUAUGUAAAGCUCUAUCAGCAGGGAAGAAAAUGACGGUACCUGACUAAGAAGCCCCGGCUAACUACGUGCCAGCAGCCGCGGUAAUACGUAGGGGGCAAGCGUUAUCCGGAUUUACUGGGUGUAAAGGGAGCGUAGACGGCAAUGCAAGUCUGAAGUGAAAGGACGGGGCUUAACCCUGUGACUGCUUUGGAAACUGUGUAGCUUGAGUGCCGGAGGGGUAAGCGGAAUUCCUAGUGUAGCGGUGAAAUGCGUAGAUAUUAGGAGGAACACCAGUGGCGAAGGCGGCUUACUGGACGGUAACUGACGUUGAGGCUCGAAAGCGUGGGGAGC
rnacentral:rRNA from 1 species